rnacentral:tRNA from 1 species
AAGGGAAUGUAGUAUCUAAAAAAAGCUUCUAACUUUAUUUUAAAGCGGUUAAACUCCGUUUUUCCCUUA